rnacentral:rRNA from 1 species
GACGAACGCUGGCGGCGUGCUUAACACAUGCAAGUCGAACGGAAAGGCCCUGCUUUUGUGCGGUUCCCGAUUGGCGAACGGGUGAGUAACACGUGAGUAACCUACCCUUGACUUUGGGAUAACUUCAGGAAACUGGAGCUACUACCGUAUCGGAGCUCCUGCUGCAUUGUGAGGGUUGGAAAGUCUCGGCUGUCGGGGAUGGAUGGGCGGCUUAUCAGCUUGUUGGUUGGGUAGUGGCUGACCAAGGCUUUGGCGGGUAGGCGGCCUGUGAGGGUGACCGGCCACCAUGGGACUGAGAGACGGCCCAGACUGCUAUGGGGGGCAGCAGGGGGGAAUAUUGCACAGUGGGCGGAAGCCUGAUGCAGAAGCGCCGCGUGCGGAAUGACGGCCUUCGGGUUGUAAUCCGCUUUCGCCUGUGACGAAGCGUGAGUGACGGUAAUGGGUGAAGAAGCACCGGCUAACUACGUG